UACAGGGGGGGGCAAGCGUUUGUUCGGAAUUACUGGGCGUAAAGGGCCAGUAGGCGGCCAACUAAGUCCGACGUGAAAUCCCCAAGCUUAACUUGGGAACUGCGUCGGAUACUGGAUGGCUUGAAUUCGGGAGAGGGAUGCAGAAUUCCAGGUGUAGCGGUGAAAUGCGUAGAUAUCUGGAGGAAUACCGGUGGCGAAGGCGGCAUCCUGGACCGACAUUGACGCUGAACGGCGAAAGCUAGGGGAGCAAACGGGG
rnacentral:rRNA from 1 species